rnacentral:ncRNA from 2 species
UUCUUAUCAAGAGAAGCUGAGGGAACUGGCCCGGGGAAGCUUCAGCAACCAGCCGGGCGGCAAGGUGCUACCUCCAGCAGGCCCCAAUUGCCUGGAAGAUAAGAA